AGAAAAGGGCUUGGGUUAAAAUGAAAUUAAAGUUCUAAUAACUCUGUCUCAGGUUUCAAAUGGGUGAUGGUGACCCAGCAGAAGAUAGGCAGACAAGAGACAUCUCACAAGAUACAGAAUCAUAAAGAAGAAGAGUCUCCGUAUAUUUCAGAUCUACUACAAUUUUUAAACUCUCACUUACACUAUUAA
rnacentral:lncRNA from 1 species